rnacentral:rRNA from 1 species
ACGCUCGACACCUACGGGAGGUAGCAGUGGGGAAUAUUGCACAAUGGGAGAAACCCUGAUGCAGCGACGCCGCGUGGAGGAAGAAGGUCUUCGGAUUGUAAACUCCUGUUGUUGGGGAAAAAGAGGAUGGUACCCAACAAGGAAGUGACGGCUAACUACGUGCCAGCAGCCGCGGUAAUCUGAGCGGGCUGGCAAGGC